ensembl:lncRNA
GGAGAAGACGCUGGCGAGCUCUCAAGGCAGCCUCCUGGUGAAAAGAGCCGCAGACACACCACUUCUCUCCCCUUUAGUCUGUGCCCUCCCGGACCGCGCUUCCCCCAAAUCGUACAGCAUCAACGAGGCCUGCCCAGCCAGAAUGCAAUCACCUCUAGGAGGGCAGUGGCUCACUGUUGGAUCUCCAGUACUUAGAACCUGGCGCAUCACAGCCUAAAAGCAGAUCCCCAGAGAGCACCUGUGAAGAAGGCUCAGCAUGACAGACACCAGGUCUGAUGGCUUUGGGAGUCACACGUCUUCUCUGGCCCACUGGAGACAAGUCACAGCAGGACCGGAAGAUCCCAUAGCCGCUUGCAUGCUGUAAAAUCCCCCUUGCUAUUCAGAUAAUGUAAAAAGCUCCUUGCCAGUUUGGGACCCACCUCUGGGCUCCCCACACCACAGUCCUAACCUCCCGGGUUCAAGGAAAGUUGCUCCUGGCUCAUUCUGGAAUGUGGGGGGAAACGGGUUGGUGGGAGGUACCUGAGCAUACCCCCACUGAAGACUACACGCUUUUCCACGUGGGAUUGGGAUCCAUAAAGCUGAUUGAAUUUUCGGUAAGGGUAGGUUGGAGAAGGGUGCAAGAAACUGACUCCCCCAAAGAUUCAGGAGCAUCUUCUUUGACUUCUGGUUACCCGGGCUGUUGGCAGGUGUGGGUUGGGGGGAAGGAGUUGCAAAAUCAGUACAGUGAGGAGAGUCUAUCCCAUGGGGCACCUGGCAAGGCAACACUUCUGGCAUGGCUGGCACUCAACAAAUAUGGAAACUUCCAAGAGUCUGCUGUCUGGCUGCCAGUCACAAGGGAGUGGAGUCAGGAUGUGCCCCCGCCUAUGUGAUGGGAGGCUGGUGUAGGAGAUGCAUAGACAGGACCACCGGCUCCAGAGCCAUUU